CAGGACUGUCGCCCGUGUCUCGCCAUGAAAUCGAGGACAGAAGACAUCUUGGGUUGUCGUCAUAUUUCUCAACCCAAUUUCUCGCCUCCUCCGCCCCUCCACCGAAAGCAAAUCCGAUGUCCCCAUUGUCGCCCGCACCUGUCGCCUUCUCUCCGCCGAUAGGAGCACAACCAUUCACUUCCACUUCCAUAGAGGCUGUCGGAUUGGCCGAGGCUGCCGAGCUGCACGGUGCGCUAGUGAGAUGCGGUGGCUCAAGAGGAACACGGUGCAGCGGCGCUGCCGGCGAAGGGCGACGACUUCCGUUUCGCCGGUGGUCAUCCACCUCAAUUUAGGCCCAUGUCGUCCGAGGGUCCAGGCCUUCAGCUUUCGUUCAGGCUAUUUUUUGCGACUCCACUUCUCUGCUUCCCCAUCCUCGCUCCUACGGUGCUGCCUUUUUAGGCAGUGCCUGUCUGCCCGACGCUAUCAACACAUUGGCCACACUCCUGUCCCCAGUCAGCACUAUCGAGCCUCCUCUGCAGUCCCCAAUUCAUAUCUCAUGCUGUCGUCGAGUGCUAUCAGAUUGGCAACACUAUCUGUUCAUGACUAUAUGACAAGGGAGCCUAAUUUCUAUGCCUUUGGGCUGCUCAAGAUGCCAAGUGUCUAACAGAUUGGCUAAUAUUGAUGCUGCAGCUGCACUUCCUACACUGCAAGAGUUUUUACUAUUGAUGCCCUUUCCCUUCUCCAGUUGAUACUUGAGUUUUUAGUCCUCAUUCUGCCUAACAGAUUGGCUAAUAUUGAUGCGCUUUCCCUUCUCCGGUUGAUACUGAGUUCUUAGUAGUAUGUCAGGUUGUACUGAAAUCCAAACUCCAUGAAUGACUCAAUUCAGGGAUGAUGGAGCAAGCAAAUGAAAAAUCAAAGGCCAAA